rnacentral:rRNA from 1 species
UACGGAGGGUGCAAGCGUUAUCCGGAUUCACUGGGUUUAAAGGGUGCGUAGGUGGGUUGGUAAGUCAGUGGUGAAAUCUCCGGGCUUAACUCGGAAACUGCCGUUGAUACUAUCAAUCUUGAAUAUCGCGUAGGUAAGCGGAAUAUGUCAUGUAGCGGUGAAAUGCUUAGAUAUGACAUAGAACACCAAUUGCGAAGGCAGCUUACUUCACGAUCAUUGACGCUGAGGCACGAAAGCGUGGGGAGCAAACAGG